CCCUAUUUUGCUGUAUGACAACCGCUCUUUAAAAAGUGUGAUAAGAGCUCUGUCUGUUGUUUUUGUUAGUUCAGAGUGAUCAGUCAUAUGACAUUUACAGCUCAAGUGAUUGGUUGAACAAAUGUGUUCCUGGAACUGAAUGCCCUGAGCAAAGAUGGCAGCAAACAGGCGGUGUGCUUCCAAGGAAUCCUGUGCCAGUCAAGUAAUUGCCAGAGAUAAAUGGAAAUGCUAAUGGAUAUCUUUCUCCAGGAUGUGGACUUUGGAAACUAAAUGUCUACUCAUCAUGUGUGGCAUGCUGUCAAUUACCACAGAUGAUAAUUUUAACUUGAAAUGUGUUUUGCGGUCAGAAUACUUAUAAUGAAAGCCUAGCAG